GACGAACGCUGGCGGCGUGCUUAACACAUGCAAGUCGAACGGACAGGCCCUGCUUUUGUGGGGUGCUCGAGUGGCGAACGGGUGAGUAACACGUGAGUAACCUGUCCCUGACUUUGGGAUAACUUCAUGAAACUUGGGCUCAUACCGGAUAGGAUCUCUUGCCGCAUGGUGGGCGUUCGUAAGUUUCGGCGGUUGGGGAUGUACUAGCGGCCUAUGCGCCUGGUGGUGUGGUAGUUGCUGACCAAGGCUUUGAGGGGUAGCCGGCCUGCGAGGGGGACCGGAGACAUUGCGCCUGAGAUACGCCCCAGACGGGAAUGGGAGGCAGCGGUGGAGAAUGUUACACAAUAGGCGGGAGGCAGAUGCGGCAGCGCCGCGUGCGGGAAGACGGGCUGCGGGUUGUGAACCGAUGUGGCCUGAGACGAGGAGUGAGUGACGGUAAUGGGUAAAGAAGCCCCGGCUAACUACGUG
rnacentral:rRNA from 1 species